rnacentral:rRNA from 1 species
GAUCGGGUUGGGUGGUCCGCUUAACGGCGUGUUACUGCUUGACUGGGUCUUGUCUCUUGGUGAACCGUUGUGUCCUUUAUUGAAUGCUUCGGGGAACCAGGACUUUUACCUUGAGAAAAUUAGAGUGUUUAAAACAGGCGUUUGCUUGAAUACAUUAGCAUGGAAUAACGGAAUAGGACU